GACAGAGGGGGCAAGCGUUGCUCGGGAUCACUGGGCGUAAAGGGCGCGUAGGCGGGAUGGCAAGUCAGUCGUGAAAUCUCUCGGCUCAACCGAGAAACGUCGGCUGAUACUGCCGUUCUUGAGGGAUGCAGAGGAGACUGGAAUUCCCGGUGUAGCGGUGAAAUGUGUAGAGAUCGGGAGGAACACCGGUGGCGAAGGCGGGUCUCUGGGCAUUUCCUGACGCUGAGGCGCGAAAGCGUGGGGAGCAAACGGG
rnacentral:rRNA from 1 species